GAUCAUGGCUCAGGACGAACGCUGGCGGCGUGCUUAACACAUGCAAGUCGAACGAGAAUCUACAGAUCGAGGAUUCGUCCAAGAGAAGUAGAGGACAGUGGCGGACGGGCGAGUAACGCGUGAGGAACCUGCCUUUCAGAGGGGGACAACAGUUGGAAACGACUGCUAAUACCGCAUGACACAUUGGGGUCGCAUGGCCUUGAUGUCAAAGAUUUAUCG
rnacentral:rRNA from 1 species